rnacentral:rRNA from 1 species
GUCUCUUCGGGGAUGAUUAAACCGGCGCACGGGUGACUACACGUGAGUGACCUGCCUUUUAGACUGGAACAACUUACCGAAAGGUGAGCUAAUGCCGGAUGAGUUAUAUAAGUGCAUGUUUAUAUAGGAAAAGUUGGGGAGACCUGACGCUGAAAGAUGGACUCGCGUCCCAUUAGCUAGUUGGUAGGGUAAUGGCCUACCAAGGCGACGAUGGGUAGCCGGCCUGAGAGGGUGGCCGGCCACACUGGGACUGAGACACGGCCCAGACUCCUACGGGAGGCAGCAGUGGGGAAUUUUGCGCAAUGCUCGUAAGAGUGACGCAGCGACGCCGCGUGAAUGACGAAGGCCUUCGGGUCGUAAAGUUCUUUCGACAGGGAAGAAAAUGCCUAUAAGUAACUGUGUAUGUAUUGACGGUACCUGUAUAAGCAGCCCCGGCUAACUCCGUGCCAGCAGCCGCGGUAAUACGGAGGGGGCGAGCGUUGUUCGGAGUGACUGGGCGUAAAGAGCACGUAGGCGGUGUUGUAAGUCAUUAGUCAAAGACUAGAGCUCAACUUUAGUAAGGCUAGUGAUACUAUAAUACUAGAGUAUCAGAGAGGAUUGCAGAAUUCCUGGUGUAGCGGUGAAAUGCGUAGAUAUCAGGAGGAAUACCGUUAGCGAAGGCGGCAAUCUGGCUGGAAACUGACGCUGAGGUGCGAAAGCGUGGGUAGCAAACAGGAUUAGAUACCCUGGUAGUCCACGCUGUAAACGAUGGAUGCUAGGUGUUGGGCUUUUAAGUUCAGUGCCGCAGCAAACGCGAUAAGCAUCCCGCCUGGGG